rnacentral:rRNA from 1 species
GACGAACGCUGGCGGCGUGCUUAACACAUGCAAGUCGAACGGAAAGGCCCUGCUUUUGUGGGGUGCUCGAGUGGCGAACGGGUGAGUAACACGUGAGUAACCUGCCCUUGACUUUGGGAUAACUUCAGGAAGCUGGGGCUAAUACCGGAUAGGAGCUCCUGCUGCAUGGUGGGGGUUGGAAAGUUUCGGCGGUUGGGGAUGGACUCGCGGCUUAUCAGCUUGUUGGUGGGGUAGUGGCUUACCAAGGCUUUGACGGGUAGCCGGCCUGAGAGGGUGACCGGCCACAUUGGGACUGAGAUACGGCCCAGACUCCUACGGGAGGCAGCAGUGGGGAAUAGUGCACAAUGGGCGGAAGCCUGAUGCAGCAACGCCGCGUGCGGGAUGACGGCCUUCGGGUUGUAAACCGCUUUCGCCUGUGACGAAGCGUGAGUGACGGUAAUGGGUAAAGAAGCACCGGCUAACUACGUG